GAUGAACGCUGGCGGCGUGCCUAAUACAUGCAAGUCGAGCGAACAGACGAGGAGCUUGCUCCUCUGACGUUAGCGGCGGACGGGUGAGUAACACGUGGAUAACCUACCUAUAAGACUGGGAUAACUUCGGGAAACCGGAGCUAAUACCGGAUAAUAUAUUGAACCGCAUGGUUCAAUAGUGAAAGACGGUUUUGCUGUCACUUAUAGCUGGAUCCGCGCCGCAUUAGCUAGUUGGUAAGGUAACGGCUUACCAAGGCAACGAUGCGUAGCCGACCUGAGAGGGGGAUCGGCCACACUAGAACCGGGACACGGACCAAACUCCUACGGGAGGCAGCAGUAGGGAAUCUUCCGCAGUGAGCGAAAAGCUGACGGAGCAACGCCGCGUGAGUGAUGGAGGUCUUCGGAUCGUAAAACUCUGUUAUUAGGGAAGAACAAAUGUGUAAGUAACUAUGCACGUCUUGACGGUACCUAAUCAGAAAGCCACGGCUAACUACGUG
rnacentral:rRNA from 1 species